UAGAGCGGCGGACUGGUGAGUAACGCGUGGGUGAUCUACCCUGGGGUUGGGGAUAGCCAUUAGAAAUAGUGGGUAAUACCGAAUACGGCCGUGAGACUAUGGUUUUACGAAGAAAGGGGCUACGGCCCCGCCCCGGGAUGAGCCCGCGUCCCAUUAGGUAGUUGGUGAGGUAAAGGCCCACCAAGCCGGAGAUGGGUAGCCGGCCUGAGAGGGUGAACGGCCACACUGGGACUGAGAUACGGCCCAGACUCCUACGGGAGGCAGCAGCUAAGAAUAUUCCGCAAUGGACGAAAGUCUGACGGAGCGGCGCCGCGUGGAUGAUGAAGGCCGAAAGGUUGUAAAGUUCUUUUAGAUCUGACGAAUAAGCGGAGGAGGGAAUGCCUCUGCGGUGACUGUAGGAUUUGAAUAAG
rnacentral:rRNA from 1 species